rnacentral:rRNA from 1 species
GACGAACGCUGGCGGCGUGCUUAACACAUGCAAGUCGAACGGAAAGGCCCUGCUUUUGUGGGGUGCUCGAGUGGCGAACGGGUGAGUAACACGUGAGUAACCUGCCCUUGACUUUGGGAUAACUUCAGGAAACUGGGGCUAAUACCGGAUAGGAGCUCCUGCUGCAUGGUGGGGGUUGGAAAGUUUCGGCGGUUGGGAUGGACUCGCGGCUUAUCAGCUUGUUGGUGGGGUAGUGGCUUACCAAGGCUUUGACGGGUAGCCGGCCUGAGAGGGUGACCGGCACCAUUGGGACUGAGAUACGGCCAAGCCUCCUACGGGAGGCAGCAGUGGGGAAUAUUGCACAAUGGGCGGAAGCCUGAUGCAGCAACGCCGCGUGCGGGAUGACGGCCUUCGGGUUGUAAACCGCUUUCGCCUGUGACGAAGCGUGAGUGACGGUAAUGGGUAAAGAAGCACCGGCUAACUACGUG